ensembl:lncRNA
GUGCAGGCUGCACGCGCCGGGCCCCGCGCCCUCCUCCUCGAACUGCUGCCCGCGGCGGAGGUGGAGGAGUGGAAGCGGCCGAGGCGGGAGCGGGAGUGCCGGGGCCGCGCUGCUCGGGCGGCAGGAAGGCCAGCUUGGCGGCGAUGGGGCUCGGGCAGGGCGGGCAGCAGAAGAGCCAGCACAGCUAGCCCAGCGAAAAGCCGUUCAUUCUAGGGCCUGGCUCCGGCAUUGGGGCGGCUGGAGCGCGCCGCCGCCGCCGCCUGCAUAGCAGGCAGGCAGGACACCCUAUUGGCGCUGAGCGCCGAAGGAUUGAUGCUUUUGAACUGUGGUGCUGGAGAAGACUCUUGAGAGUCCCUUGGACUGCAAGGAGAUCCAACCAGUCCAUCCUAAAGGAAAUCAGUCCUGAGUAUUCACUGGAAGGACUGACGCUGAAGCUGAAACUCCAAUACUUUGGCCAGCUGAUGUGAAGAACUGACUCAUUUGAAAAGACUCUGAUGCUGGGAAAGAUUGAAGGCAGGAGGGGAAGGGGACGACAGAGAAUGAAAUGGUUGGAUGGCAUCACCGACUCAAUGGACGUGACUUUGAGUAAACUCCGGAGUUGGUGAUGGACAGGGAGGCCUGGUGUGCUGCAGUCCAUGGAGUCGCAAAGAGUCCGCCGACACGACUAAGCGACUGAACUGAUUGGUUUCUAGUAAGUGGGAGAACUGAUUGGUGUGGGGAGAAAACCCACGUAUCUGUUACAAGUAAAAACAGCUCAUUGCACAACUCAGCAAAAUGACUAAAACUCAGUGACCCACUUAGAAUGGGUGAAUUUUAUGAAAAAGAAAUUUUAGAUUUUCAGAAGUUUGGAUUUUUCCAUUAAAGAGACUUUGAAAGGACCAAAUAGAAGGCAUUGGCAACAUUUACAGAAGUGGCCAUGAAUUUUACCUGGGGCAGCAGGGACUGACAGAUGGCUGACCACAGGGGCACGAUGCUGGGGACUUAUAGACCCUACUCUCCACUGAGCACCAAGAUAGCAAACCAAGGACUUUCCUGGUGAUCCAGUGGUUAGAACUCCAUGCAGGGGCACAGGUUCGAUCCCUGGUCGGGGGAACUAACAUCCUGCAAGUCAAGUGGCUCAUCCAAAAAACAAACAAACAAAAAGACAGCAAACCAGAUGUGAUCUGUAAGUUGAAACAAGGAGGAGAGCUAUGGACAAAGGAGUGAGAAAUGUGAGUGGGCCAGCAGCUGAGUCCAAUAAGAUGCCAGACAGCAAGGGAGCCUGUGAUAUGGUCAGCCUUUCAGAACAGACAGACAGAUGAAGAUGGAUCUGGAGGGGAAAUGGAAGAUACCCAGCCCAGCGAACAGGAACCCUAGCUGACACACCUCCAAGGAUCAACCUGGGUGCCCUGUUCCCACUGUAGCCC